UUUUUUACUUAUGAUGGGUUAAUCGAGAUGUAACUCCAUCAUAAGCUCCUGAGGAGGUUGUCCCUGGAGGGAUAAGGUGGAGAGUAUAAAGACCAGUAAAAUAAAAAAGACAGGAAUAGAACUUUCCAGGCAAAAGGAGGUAAUAAAUAGAAUCACCAUGGCAAAUCCGGAACAACUAAGAGAUGCUUUUAAAGGCAAGACUGCCUUCUCCAGAAGCUCAUUCUUCAAGUCCCCUCCCCAUGCAAGCAAAGACAGGCAGGCGCUGUGAAAGUUACAUGGCAUGACAUCCUCUCAAACGCUACCUGACAGACUGCUGCAAUCACCCUGUGAAUGCUUGUUGUGAGGACAAACUGAGAUGAGGUUUGUGAAGUGUAAAGCACAGAAAAUGCUCAACGUCUCUCUCUGGAUGUCCAGCAGUUACUUCAAAUGCAUCCCCCAAGGCAGUUCAUCUUCCAUGUAACCAUAAUAAUCACAAUAAAAAGCCACUGGGAGCUGU